rnacentral:lncRNA from 1 species
UACUCAGGCCAGAAGCCCCUUGUGCCCUGCUCUCAGGCAACUAGAUGGGCCACUUCUCUCUCCCUAGGGGUUUCCUCCCAUAUUGGAUCACGAUGAAAACUGCACAGAAAGUCCGUGCUCAGUUUCUUCCAUGGUUACAGAACACAGGCCCCAGACCAGGAAGGCAUUCUGCUAAAGAAGGGGACCCGAAACCUCAGCUACCAGCGCCGAUGGUUCAUCCUCCGAGGAAACCUCCUCUUCUACCUAGAACACUAGACCGACCAUGCACCCCUGAGCCUCAUCCUGUUAGAGAACUGCCAGGUGGAACCACACCUUAAGGCUGCAGAACCCUAUGCCUUUACCAUCCUGACCCCUGGGGUGGAGGGCACAGGUGGGCGGGCCUACAAGCUGGCUGCAGAAACCCAGGAAGAGCUGGAGACUUGGCUGUGGGCACUGGCUGGCGCGAGCUGGAGGCGGCUGGCUGGGCUGCUGUCCCCCCUCCCCCCCCACCAAAACCCAAUACUGGGAGCUGUGCCAGGCAACUGGCCAAGAACCCAUCUCAUCCCCAGAGGACAGUGGCUUUCUAGCCACUGUGAGUACCCCCUCCAGCUUCCAGGAGUUGCAUGAGCACUUUGGGAAGGAGAUCCGGGUGCUGCACGUGGUACAUAGAGAGCUCCAGGCAGCCAGUGACAAUGGAGACAGCAGAUCCCAGGCAAAGAUGGAGCAGGAGCUCAACCAGUGUCUGAUGAGUGACUGAGAGAUGGACCCAAAGCUAAGAGGUACCUACUUGCCAAGACAGCAGACUGCUUCAACAGAGACCCAGGUCCUGGCUCUGUCCCUCCCUCCCUCGUCCUUACCCCAUCCCCCCCUCAUCAAAUAACAAGGCAGAAAACAGGCCCAGGUACAACAGCAGGUUCUUUUCCAAUUCCUCAAAGCGCUGCAUGGGGUGGGGGCAGAGACAGAAGAGAAUGUAAACAUUGGGUUCCACCCCCUGGAGCUCAAGGGAAGACCCUUACCCAGAUAGGGACUAACUGGAGGGGUGGAAGGGAACAAGGUGAAAGGUAUGGGUCCUGGUGAGACAAAAGCAGGGGGGCCUGAGAACACAGAGCAAGGUGGGUUUGGAGGGAGCACAGCAGGGUGCAGGAAGGGAGAUGGGGGACAUUUCCUAUUCCAGUGCAUGUCCCCUUAAAUAAACUGGGUACAGGAGCAUUAUGGAAGGAGAACCAAAGGACAGAAGACAAAGCGAGCACCCCCACCCCAGGCCAACGCCAUCCUCUGUACACAAUUACAACACAGGUCCAGAAUGAGAGCCCUGGCCAGGAAGUGGGGGAGACAGGGAGGGCUGAAGACAGGGAAAAGGAAGCCAGCUCCACCUCAUGGUAAGGGGAGCUAUGGAGUGUAAGAAUCUGAAACUGCUGACUCCCAUCACCAGGAGUCACCCCUGGGAUGACAACGGGCCAUUCAGGACAGCACCUAGGAGGGGACCCAGAGGGAACUGGGGCAGGAGCGACAGAGACCCCAGCUGAGCCUCAUGGGAGAUGAGAGGCUCCAGACUCAUUUGCAGCUGCCCAUCUGUCCUGCCCGUGUAGGGAUCAGCAGCUGGCGAGGAGAUGGGGAACCAAGCCACUUUCCCCAGCAAGGGACAGCCUGACAAGGUGCUAGGGGGUGGCACCUUGGGCCAGGCCUGUUCUUGGCUGAGGGAAAGAGGGGGGCCAUGCAGUCCAGCCCCAGGGCAGAGGUCAGAAGUAAGCGUCCUGCCGGGCCUCGGCUGAGGGCCUGUCCCCACCAUCAUGGGGGCCUGGGGGCCCAUCUGCCUUUCGACGCAGCGAAAGCUUCCGGCCUUGAGCCUUCUUCUCCUGCUUCUGCCGCUCCUUCUCCUGCUUCUCUCGCUCCUUUUCCUGCUUCUCUCGCUCUUUCUCCUGCUUCUGCCGCUCCUUCUCCCGCUCCUUCUCCUGUUUCUGCCGCUCCUUCUCCUGUUUCUGCCGCUCCUUCUCCUGCUUCCGGGUCUCCUUGCUGGAACCCAAGGGGGUGCUAUUGCCAGUGGGUGAGGGAAGGGAUGGAUGCAGUCCCUCAGCAGUGACCACAGGCCCUGGGGCAGGCCCAGCACUGGCUCUGCGGACGGGGGGCGGCGGGGACGGGGCCCCUCCAGCUGCCCGGGAGCCUCGGCUCUUGAGGCCAGGGAGGCUGAGGAGGCUGGAGGAGGGGCCCAGGGGUGGCUGUUGCCGCCGGCGCUCCUCGUGGAUGGCCCGGGACCCAUGCAGUCGCCGUGAGGGCCGAUACUGCAGCUCCCCCCGCGUUUCCCGCCACUUCUUGAGCUGGGCUGCAUUCUCCCGCUCAAUCAGUGCUUCUGUCACCGGCAGAUUGGUCACCUGCACAGAGAGGAAAUGCGUACCAGAAUGGAGCUGAGGGUGGGAGCGGGCUGAGGCAGGCAGGGGCUGCGUUGAGGGCACAGGCCUACCUCAUGCACCAGGAAGUCUUCCUGCAUGCACUGCUGGGGCAGGUUACGCAGCUGCUCCAUGGUCUCAUACAUGCCUUGGCAGGAGCGCAGCUUCUCCACUGAGCCCAGCGUGUGGCGCAGCAGGACCAGGGCCACCCGGAAGAUGAUCUUAACGCCUGCAGGGGUGGAGAGUAGAGAGCAUGGGGUGGUCAGACCCAAGAUCUCAGCCUGUCCUGAUCAGGAUAGACUCACAGCCCCCAUCCCCAUCUACUGCCAAUCUCAGAUGAGGAAACUGAGGCCCUGUGAAAGUACAUGAGCUGCUAUCAGUCUCAGGAUCUUGGCAGGGAGAGCAGGCUCUGGGUUGGUGGCAGAACUAAAAUCAGGCCUGUUUCUCCAGCCCCCAGCUGCUUAUGGUGAAACCUCCACCCAACAAGUACCUUUUGUCCAUGGACCACCAGAAAUAUGACAGAACCCCUGGUAGCCACCACAGAAACCCCAGCCCCUCAUGGCCUGGAGGGCCACAGAAGUACCUUCACAGAAAAACAUGUCCCAGACACGCAGCACCGACGCCCAGGGCAGGGUGCGGGCGAAGAUGCACAUGAACCACUCCGUCAUGUAGAGCACAGGGUCAAUGCGCUGCCGCCGCAGGUGGCGAUGCGCCAGCGGGGAGGCCCGGCGCAGGAGUGCAAAAAAGAUCUCCCCGUCCAGCUGAAUGGCCUCCUGCAGGUGGGACAAGCCAUGAGAAGAGGGCCAAGUCAGCUGUGCCCCCAUCAGGGGAGAACUGGCCGGCCCUGUGGGCAGAAGCCGGGAAGGCCAGGGUGGGGCAAGGCAAGGACCUGCCUGCAGCCUGGAGGAAACGCCACAGCCCCGGAUGCACCCAGCCUCCAGACACUCACCAGCCCUGCACUGUAGUAACCUGGGAGGUACUUGUCGCAGAUCUGCACCAGGCACCAAAAGGCUUGCUGAGAAGAGCAAGAACAAGGAGGAGGGGUGGGGCCUGAGAAGCAGGGAGCAGGGAGCUCCCCCAUCACCACUGUAGGGUGAGAUCCCCCCUGCCCCUCCCGGCCCAGGACCAGGGCGCUGACCUCCGCAGGCAUGUGCAUGAGCAGGACCGCAGCCACGGGGGCCUGGGCCUGGCAGUAACCCUCGUCAGGCCGGUAGAUGGUGUAGGCCUUCAGGAUUCGGUACAGGUCCUGUUGCCUGUGGGGGUUGGGGAAGACUGUGAGGGCAGUCACGGGCUGAGAGCUCUGUCCCCAAACCCAGUUCCAGAUUCGUCCCAGAGUUUAUCACCAGGCUCCUCCAUCCACCUGCCCAGUCCUGCUGAGCGAGCUUCAGCUAAAGGCUCAGCCCACAGCAGAGCACUCCAGGCCCCGGGGCUCCGCCUUUGGCUACAUACUCCACAUGCUCCUGGCCAUCCCAGCACAGGCUGCACCCUCGCCCUCCUUCCUCAGCCACAUCCCAGAAACCUUCCAGGUCAUUUUCUCCAGGAAGCUUUCCACAGCUGCAGCAUCAGCCCUCCUCUAGCACUAAAUGUCUUUGUCACCCCAAAGCAGUAGCUCCCCAGGGCAGGGCCUGCCUUAUCGGUCUCACUGGAUUUCAUGGUUCUUGGGGAAGGCUUGGAAGCCAGCUGUGCCUCAGCCCUUUCUCCUGUCUCUGCAUCCAAAAGAAUAAAAUCUGUACCCUAGAUCUGCUCUUCUUGAGGGUGCCCCACUGCCGUGUCCAGGACUUCUAUUCACUCAGCCCCACAUCAGAAAAGAGCCCCUUACUCCAAGCCUAAGCAGCGCUGCACCCUGAAUUCCAUUCCUGCCUGCUCCUCUCCACCUCCACAGCCAUUCGCAGCUCAGACCUCCAUUUCUUGCCCAUAAAAAAUGACCUCCCAGAUCCUCUCCCUGCCUCCAGUCUCACACAUCCUCCUCCUGACCACUUCCCAGAAUAGCUUUUCCCAAAACUCCAGGCAUUCAAGUGUGAUCUUCAUUUGUAUUUUAUCUGCAUACCACCCUACUAUUUAGUUGACAUUUUUUCUCCACUUUGCAAAAGCAUCCACGAAAUGACAGGUUUGAUAUGGUUAUUUUACCUAAUGCAUAUUAAAAUAAAUAUGUAACUUCCACAAGCACCCACACCCAUCACCCACCUGCCUGCUUCCGUGUCCCUGCCUUCUCCCUGUUGCUAUGGGUGAAGAGUCUGUGAUCCUGGCAAGCACUUCCUUUCCACUUGGGCCCAGGAUCCCAUCCCCUCUCGCGUGUACAGGCCACCACUCCAACAACCCUCCCCUUGCUCCUGCACUAUCAAUUUCUCUCUCCACCGUUCCCACAAGCAUACCCACAUGCUGUUAUUUGAGUUUAAAAAAAAAAAAAGUCUCUUCACCAGGCGCAGUAGCUCGCGCCUGUAAUCCUAGCACUUUGGGAGGCCAAGGUGGGUGGAUCACCUGAGGUCAGGAGUUCGAGACCAGCCUGGCCAACAUGGCAAAACCCCGUCUCUACCAAAAAUACAAAAAUUAGCCAGGUGUGGUGGCGGGCACCUGUGAUCCCAGGUACUUGGGAGGCUGAGGUGGGAGAAUCACUUGAAUCUGGGAAUCUGGGAGGCAGAGGUUGCAGUGAGCCAAGAUCACACCACUGCACUCCAGCCUGGGCGACAGUCAAGCUCUGUCUCAAAACAAACAAAAAAAAGUCUCUUUACCCCUCUCUUCCCUCCAAAUACCACACUGUUUCUUUCCUUACCUAUAGACUCACUGUCUUCAAUUUCUUUUCUCCCAUUCUCCAGUUAGGGUUUCACCCACUGCUCCACACAAAACUGUUUUUGUUUGUUUCGAGACAGUUUCACUCUCGUUGCCCAGGCUGCAGUGCAAUGGUGCGAUCCCAGCUCACGGCAAACUCUGUCUCCCAGGUUCACGCAAUUCUCCUGCCUCAGCCUCCCUAUAAAAUGCCCGGCUAAUUUUGUAUUUUUAGUAGAGACGGG